rnacentral:rRNA from 1 species
ACGUAGGGUGCAGGCGUUAAUCGGAAUUACUGGGCGUAAAGCGUGCGCAGGCGGUCUAUUAAGACAGGUGUGAAAUCCCCGGGCUUAACCUGGGAACUGCGCUUGUAACUGAUAGGCUUGAGUGUGGCAGAGGGUGGCGGAAUUCCCGGUGUAGCAGUGAAAUGCGUAGAGAUCGGGAGGAACAUCCGUGGCGAAGGCGGCCACCUGGGCCAACACUGACACUGAGGCACGAAAGCCAGGGGAGCAAACGGGA